UACAGGGGGUGCAAACGUUGCUCGGAAUCAUUGGGCGUAAAGCGCACGUAGGCGGUUCGUUAUGUCGGAUGUGAAAGCCCUUGGCUUAACCGAGGAAGUGCAUCCGAAACUGGCGAGCUAGAGUACGAAAGAGGAUCGCGGAAUUCCCGGUGUAGAGGUGAAAUUCGUAGAUAUCGGGAGGAACACCGGUGGCGAAGGCGGCGAUCUGGGUCGAUACUGACGCUGAGGGCGAAAGCGUGGGGAGCAAACAGG
rnacentral:rRNA from 1 species